rnacentral:rRNA from 1 species
GAUGAACGCUGGCGGCGUGCCUAAUACAUGCAAGUCGAGCGAAUGGACGAGAAGCUUGCUUCUCUGAUGUUAGCGGCGGACGGGUGAGUAAAACGUGGAUAACCUACCUAUAAGACUGGGAUAAAUUCGGUAAACCGUAGCUAAUACCGGAUAAUAUUUUGAACCGCAUGGUUCAAAAGUGAAAGACGGUCUUGCUGUCACUUAUAGAUGGAUCCGCGCUGCAUUAUCUAGUUGGUAAGGUAACGGCUUACCAAGGCAACGAUGCAUAGCCGACCUGAGAGGGUGAUGGGCCAAACUGGAACUGAGACACGGUCCAGACUCCUACGGGAGGCAGCAGUAGGGAAUCUUCCGCAAUGGGCGAAAGCCUGCCGGAGCAACGCCGCGUGAGUGAUGAAGGUCUUCGGAUCGUAAAACUCUGUUAUUAGGGAAGAACAUAUGUGUAAGUAACUGUGCACAUCUUGACGGUACCUAAUCAGAAAGCCACGGCUAACUACGUG